UGUUACGAAAGCAAUGCGCAACUUGUUUCACAAGAAGCCGGAGAUGUCUCGUCCGGGAUGCUGUGCCAACCUUAUCUGCAGCAGGAGAUUGCAGGGGCAGGACUAGGCAGCAGAUAAAGGCAUUCUGGCACCACCGAAAAGCUUGCACUCCACGUCUCAACUAUCACCGUCUGGGUUUCAAGCUGAAGGCUGUCACCAGUGCCAACCAGACGCCCCUUCAAAGUUCAUCUGUUUUUGUUGACGGAACAGUGACACCUGGUAAACCUGUCACGCAGAUGCCCUACCCCUUGGUAUGCAUAGUUCAAGAUUGUACUGAAACAAUCC